rnacentral:rRNA from 1 species
CAGCAGCCACGGUAAUACGUAGGGUGCGAGCGUUAAUCGGAAUUACUGGGCGUAAAGCGUGCGCAGGCGGUUUUGUAAGACAGGCGUGAAAUCCCCGGGCUCAACCUGGGAAUGGCGCUUGUGACUGCAAAGCUAGAGUGCGGCAGAGGGGGAUGGAAUUCCGCGUGUAGCAGUGAAAUGCGUAGAUAUGCGGAGGAACACCGAUGGCGAAGGCAAUCCCCUGGGCCUGCACUGACGCUCAUGCACGAAAGCGUGGGGAGCAAACAGGAUUAGAUACCCCCGUAGUCCCUGUCUCUUAUAC